rnacentral:rRNA from 1 species
UACGUAGGGUGCGAGCGUUGUCCGGAAUUAUUGGGCGUAAAGGGCUCGUAGGCGGUUUGUCGCGUCGGGAGUGAAACCAGGUGCUUAACACCUGGCUUGCUUUCGAUACGGGCAGACUAGAGGUAUUCAGGGGAGAACGGAAUUCCUGGUGUAGCGGUGAAAUGCGCAGAUAUCAGGAGGAACACCGGUGGCGAAGGCGGUUCUCUGGGAAUGACCUGACGCUGAGGAGCGAAAGUGUGGGGAGCGAACAGG